rnacentral:rRNA from 1 species
UCAGGAUGAACGCUGGCGGCGUGCCUAACACAUGCAAGUCGAGCGAUUCUCUUCGGAGAAGAGCGGCGGACGGGUGAGUAACGCGUGGGUAACCUGCCCUGUACACACGGAUAACAUACCGAAAGGUAUGCUAAUACGAGAUAAUAUGCUUUUAUCGCAUGAUAGAAGUAUCAAAGCUUUUGCGGUACAGGAUGGACCCGCGUCUGAUUAGCUAGUUGGUAAGGUAACGGCUUACCAAGGCGACGAUCAGUAGCCGACCUGAGAGGGUGAUCGGCCACAUUGGAACUGAGACACGGUCCAAACUCCUACGGGAGGCAGCAGUGGGGAAUAUUGCACAAUGGGCGAAAGCCUGAUGCAGCAACGCCGCGUGAGCGAUGAAGGCCUUCGGGUCGUAAAGCUCUGUCCUCAAGGAAGAUAAUGACGGUACUUGAGGAGGAAGCCCCGGCUAACUACGUGCCAGCAGCCGCGGUAAUACGUAGGGGGCUAGCGUUAUCCGGAAUUACUGGGCGUAAAGGGUGCGUAGGUGGUUUCUUAAGUCAGAGGUGAAAGGCUACGGCUCAACCGUAGUAAGCCUUUGAAACUGGGAAACUUGAGUGCAGGAGAGGAGAGUGGAAUUCCUAGUGUAGCGGUGAAAUGCGUAGAUAUUAGGAGGAACACCAGUUGCGAAAGCGGCUCUCUGGACUGUAACUGACACUGAGGCACGAAAGCGUGGGGAGCAAACAGGAUUAGAUACCCUGGUAGUCCACGCCGUAAACGAUGAGUACUAGCUGUCGGAGGUACCCCCUUCGGUGGCGCAGCUAACGCAUUAAGUACUCCGCCUGGGAAGUACGCUCGCAAGAGUGAAACUCAAA